ACUCCUACGGGAGGCAGCAGUGGGGAAUAUUGGACAAUGGGCGCAAGCCUGAUCCAGCCAUGCCGCGUGAGUGAUGAAGGCCCUAGGGUUGUAAAGCUCUUUCACCGGUGAAGAUAAUGACGGUAACCGGAGAAGAAGCCCCGCCUGACUUCAGUUGCCAGCCAGCCGCCGGGUAAUACGAAGGGGCGUAGCGUUGUUCGGAUUUACUGGGCGUAAAGCGCACGUAGGCGGACUUUUAAGUCAGGGGUGAAAUCCCGGGGC
rnacentral:rRNA from 1 species